rnacentral:rRNA from 1 species
GACGAACGCUGGCGGCGUGCUUAACACAUGCAAGUCGAACGGUGAAGCGCCUUCCUUUUUGGUGGGUGUGGAUGAGUGGCGAACGGGUGAGUAACACGUGAGUAACCUGCCCCCUUCUUCUGGAUAACCGCAUGAAAGUGUGGCUAAUACGGGAUAUUCUGGGUCUGUCGCAUGAUGGGUCUGGGAAAGAUAUUGUUUCGGUGGGGGAUGGGCUCGCGGCCUAUCAGCUUGUUGGUGGGGUGAUGGCCUACCAAGGCGGUGACGGGUAGCCGGCCUGAGAGGGUGGACGGUCACACAGGGACGGAGACACGGCCCAGACUCCGACGGGAGGCAGCAGUGGGGAAUAUUGCACAAGGGGCGCAAGGCUGAUGCAGCGACGCCGCGUGAGUGAUGGAGGCCUGCGGGUUGUGAACCUCUUUCGCCAGUGAAGCAGGCCUGCCUCGUUUGUGGGUGGGUUGACGGUAGCUGGAUAAGAAGCGCCGGCUAACUACGUG